GUCUGGAUAUAUCUGUAGAAUCCUGGGUAAAAUGAAAUUCGGUGACCUAGUCCAGUCACCUUUCAAAUUCCAUUAAAGCACACUGGCAUUUUAAAGUUGUGGAUUAACGCUUCCUAGAUCAUGCCUAUAGCUCAGCAUGUGAGUUCCAUCAAGCUGGAAAAGGUAGGAAAAAUCAUCAGAUUGCAAGAGUCAUUUCCUAAACAGAAGUGCAACAGAACAGGACCCCACCCCCUGUCCCAGAUGUCCUCCGCACCCUGUCCUGCUGGAAGGGGUGUGAAUGACUAGGAGAAAACAAGGUAGAAUCCCAGAUUCUCGAUCACAGCCUCUCAGCCCCCUGCUUCUGCCCCCGACUUCUCCAAAGGCCAGAGCGGCUGCAGGAACUGCCCACCCUGCCAGAGGGGCGCCUCCUAGAGCCAGGACAGGGGACAGCAUCGUGGGCAUCUCCAGCCGGCCGGCGCCACAGAAGCCACUGUUCAACCUCCGUCAUCGAGAUCCACAAUAUUUUAAGGCCAUUUGCUCACAUACUGCCUUUAAUGGUCUCCUACUCCUGAGGGCAAAUCAAGUAUAUUUUCUUGUCCUGGGACGCUGUGAAGAAGCCCCUCACACCUCCCACCCCGGCACACAGAAGGUGGGCGAAGUUGCAAGACGCCAGAGAAGGAGACGCACAGACAGCAGCCCGGCGGCCUGAGGUCAGGCCGGGGGUCGGACGACAGCACGGGGUUGACGUGUUGAUGGCAGCUGCACGGGGCCAAGGUCCUUACGCUUCACACGCCCACGGAAGUCAUACAGCGGAAGAAAGGGGAUCCCGCACACAGUGAAGGGGAAAGUGUGGUCUCCAGAAAAUUCCACCUUCCUGUGACCCAAAUUCUCCACCAAGUGAUGACAUUCUGGGCUGUGACAAAGGAGCUUGGACUGAACGAAGAAAAAGGUAGCUGGCUCUUCUGGAAGGAAAGGCCAGGGAGGGGUGAGACCAGGACAGCCAGCACGAAGCGACUCAGGCGCCCGCGGCCUCUCUCCGAAUGUGUGGGACGGAGACAGGCGGCAGAGGCAUUUCACCAGCAGUGCAGGCUUCCACCUUCCCAGGGCCACGUGAUCCUGGUGAAACUUUCCAGUUUCAAAGUGACCACCGCCCCCCCCCCCCCCACCGUGCCUUUGUCUGGUCUACACUUUUCUUCUUUAAUGGGAAGAAUGGAAGAAAUAUCAGAACAAAUAGAACUUAGAAAGUUCUAAAACCUUUUCUUGAAACUUACUGCGUGCCACCAAUAACCCUAAAUUGGAAAAACUCAGUAAUGAGGGUCCUUUUUAAUUACCAGCCUUGAAUCUAACAGCAGCCUUUCGUGCAUUCAAUUGCUCAUUGUCAAUAGAAUCAUCUUUCAGAGUGUUUCAUCUAUCAACAGACAUUUGAUGAUCUAUAUUGAAUAAUAUUUUACUCUGUAUAUUUAAAAUAUACUUUCAGGGCUUCCCUGGUGGCGUAGUGGUUGGGAGUCCGCCUGCUG